rnacentral:lncRNA from 1 species
CUCUAUCAUAACAAAGUCAAUCAUAGUUUCCUCUUAACAAAUGCUCAAGGAAACUAAUGUGUAUUUUCUAUAAUCAACAUUAUUUAUAAUACUAUCAACUAAGUAUUAUAGGAAAACACUAGCGAACAUUAUAGUUUCCUAUUCUUCUUAUCACUUAGGUUCAGGGUUUGAUUUGUUUGACUCCAAAUUGAUGUAUUCGUGGAUCUUAUGGACUUCCAUAUUGUGAUUUGUGAUUGUUUUGAGUUUAGAUUUUCUGGGAUUAAUAACUUGGGUAUAAAUAGUCAUUGGGCUAGUAAUUAUUGAGCA